UCAGGCUACUAAAUGGUCGCUUGUACAUUAUCGUAUGAGAGGAAAGUCCGGGCAACACAGGACAAAGACAGACGCAAACGGCGACCGGGGGUGACCCUAGGGAAAGUGCCACAGAAACUAUACCGCCAAGCAUCCCUAAAAGAUGCUCGGUAAGGGCGAAAAGAGUGAGGUAAGAGCUCACAGCGGCGUAUGGCGACAUACGACGGAGGUAAACCCUGCCCGUUGCAAGGAGAUGCGGCCCCUACUCAUCACGAGCAGGCCGGUCCGGCUGCGCCGUAUCGCAAAUCCGCUUGAACCUAUGGGCAACCAUAGGUCUAGACAGAUGACCAUUCACGACUGAACCCGGCUUAUCGGUAGCCUGAUAAU
rnacentral:RNase_P_RNA from 1 species